GUGGAUUUAUUAGUGAGUCCCCAGGAAGGCACAGCGUCACAUAAAAGCUCUUCAUCUUUUCACCAGGAAAACAGGAUUUUCCUUAGGACAGCUAGGUAAACUGAGGCACCCUGAAGGAUUACCCCAAAGGGAGAGAAGCUCCAAGGCUUGGAGGAGGAGUGUGAGUAGAAAAAAGACUGGGAUCUCCCAAGACUUGAAGAUGUAAGGAGCUCGUUCCUGAUGCCAUGUCCCUCACAUCAGAUGCAGGUGGAAGCCAAUCCGUCAGGAGUAUUUUCCCGGUUCGCAGCUAUCCUGUUUGGUUUCCCAGCAGCACAGAGGGGCGGCAAACUGGUGAAUGAAACCACACUCAAUCUUUGGAGUGGAUAAAAGAGCCGGAUAACGAAAAUAUUUCUCUUAGGGCUA